GAGUGGACCUGGAAGGGACUCGGGACUUAGCCUUUUAACCUUAGUUAAGGCCUGCUUGCGGAGCGGCGUGGCCCCAACCUGCCCCGCGCGAGCACCGGUAUGAGCAUAGGGUCUCCGUGGCCUGCCCAGCGUGGCCCAAAAAAAGCCAGCCACAAACUCUGGCACCAGGACGGAGGCAGGGAACCGUCUGGAUCCUUCGUGGAUAGUUAAGGUCUGUCUCUGAUUUGCAGGGGCGUUAGCAACCGCGAGAGAAAUUAACAAGAGGGCCGCAACUAGAAACAAAAAGAACUCCCUGAAAGCUCCUGAGGCAUAUUUUGGUGACAAAGACGUUAUGGCUAUUCACUUCAGGACUCAGUGCCCUGCACCCUUCUAUGCCCACUUCCUUCCUCCCCAAGCUUCCUCUAAAGUACCGGCUGCGUUCCUGAGGCAGACUAGUGGUAUCCAUCAUUGCCACCGGACACGCCUGCCGUCAGGGGUCUAGACCCACCCAGUAUGAGGUGAAGAGACAGAUACCAUAAGAAGCCCCUGAAAAUGCGCUGGAGACCCACAGCACUACAUACCUGAAAUGGGUGAUGAUUUUUAUCCCAGUGCAUUCCAGAUGUGCCUUAAGUUUCCAGAGCAACCAGAAAGACGCCAUAGAUAGUUAAGCUGAUAUUUGCAGGAGAUGCAGGUUCAGUUAUUAAUUAUUGCUGUAUGGAUUUUAAAAAAAGAAAGA